GCCAGACUCCUACGGGAGGCAGCAGUGGGGCCUCUUGCACAAUGGGGGCCCCCCUGAUGCCGCGCCGCCGCGUGCCGGCAGAAGUAUUUCGGUAUGUAAACUUCUCUCAGCAGGGCCGCCCAUGACGGUCCCUGCCUAAGAAGCCCCGGCUAACUACGUGCCAGCAGCCGCGGUAAUACGUAGGGGGCACGCGUUAUCCGGAUUCACUGGGUGUAAAGGGAGCGGAGACGGCGACGCAAGUCUGGAGUGAAAGCCCGGGGCCCAACCCCGGGACUGCUCUGGAAACUGCGUGGCUGGAGUGCAGGAGGGGCAGGCGGAAUUCCUGGUGUAGCGGUGAAAUGCGGAGAUAUCAGGAGGAACACCGGCGGCGAAGGAGGCUUACUGGACGGCAACUGACGUUGAGGCCCGAAAGCGUGGGGAUCGAACAGGAUUAGAUACCCUGGUAC
rnacentral:rRNA from 1 species